rnacentral:rRNA from 1 species
GAUGAACGCUGGCGGCGUGCCUAAUACAUGCAAGUAGAACGCUGAAGGAAGGAGCUUGCUCUUUCCGGAUGAGUUGCGAACGGGUGAGUAACGCGUAGGUAACCUGCCUGGUAGCGGGGGAUAACUAUUGGAAACGAUAGCUAAUACCGCAUAACAGUAGAUGUUGCAUGAUAUCUACUUAAAAGGUGCAAUUGCACCACUACCAGAUGGACCUGCGUUGUAUUAGCUAGUUGGUGAGGUAACGGCUCACCAAGGCGACGAUACAUAGCCGACCUGAGAGGGUGAUCGGCCAAACUGGGGCUGAGACACGGCCCAGACUCCUACGGGAGGCAGCAGUAGGGAAUCUUCGGCAAUGGACGGAAGUCUGACCGAGCAACGCCGCGUGAGUGAAGAAGGUUUUCGGAUCGUAAAGCUCUGUUGUAAGAGAAGAAAGAGUGUGAGAGUGGAAAGUUCACACUGUGACGGUAUCUUACCAGAAAGGGACGGCUAACUACGUG